rnacentral:lncRNA from 1 species
GCAUGACUUCCUAGAAAGGCUUGUAUUCAACAUUUUCUAAUUUUGGGUACAGAUAUAUGAAAAAUUGAAUUUCCCUUUUAUUUAUAAUAUAAAUUCCAUGCUUUUUUCAAGAUAAAGGUUAACGAUACAUAAUGGAGAUUGUGGCAAUAUCCAAACUAUAGUAGAUUAUGGACCCGGGGAAUACUAGAUAUUCUAACUCAACAAAAUCCCUGCAGAAAUCAUUCAAAUCAAAAUACCCGCAUAAAGGUCCAUCACAAUUCACAAAGGUUGAGAGUAAGCUAAUCAAAUACCCUUAAUUCCUAGCAAACCAACAUAUGUGCUAACCAAAUGAUGCAACAAGCCAAGAACUACCAAUUUCAUUCCAUGGGGACUGCUCGGGCGAAGGCAUCGCAUGGAGUGAUCCUAGAGGCACCCUUCCUAGGUGGAAAAGGCAUGUGUGGCUAAAACCACCCUUCCUAGUGAAGGCGAGACGUAGUGGCUAUAAACCAGGCACCGUGUUGGAGCAUUCUGUAUCUAUCCAUUAGUAUUUGUUUGUGUCCGCAAGAAUCUGACGCCAUUGAGCUAGCUAGUGAUAUGAGUCGNN